UACGAAGGGACUAGCGUUGUUCGGAUUUACUGGGCGUAAAGCGCGCGUAGGCGGAUCGCUAAGUCAGGGGUGAAAUCCCAGGGCUCAACCCUGGAACUGCCUUUGAUACUGACGAUCUGGAGAUCGGGAGAGGUUGGUGGAAUUCCGAGUGUAGAGGUGAAAUUCGUAGAUAUUCGGAGGAACACCAGAAGCGAAGGCGGCCAACUGGCCCGAUACUGACGCUGGAGGCGACGAAAGCGUGGGGAGCAAACAGG
rnacentral:rRNA from 1 species